rnacentral:rRNA from 1 species
UUUUGGGUGACCGCUGGCGGCUUGCUUAACACAUGCAAGUCGAGCGGUAGCGGGUCCAGCUUGCUGGAUGCCGACGAGCGGCGGACGGGUGAGUAAUGCAUAGGAAUCUACCCAGUAGUGGGGGAUAACCUGGGGAAACCCAGGCUAAUACCGCAUACGUCCUACGGGAGAAAGCGGGGGCUCUUCGGACCUCGCGCUAUUGGAUGAGCCUAUGUCGGAUUAGCUAGUUGGUAGGGUAACGGCCUACCAAGGCGACGAUCCGUAGCUGGUCUGAGAGGAUGAUCAGCCACACCGGGACUGAGACACGGCCCGGACUCCUACGGGAGGCAGCAGUGGGGAAUAUUGGACAAUGGGCGCAAGCCUGAUCCAGCCAUGCCGCGUGUGUGAAGAAGGCUUUCGGGUUGUAAAGCACUUUCAGUGGGGAAGAAAGCGUACCGGUCAAUACCCGGUACGGACGACAUCACCCACAGAAGAAGCACCGGCUAACUCCGUGCCAGCAGCCGCGGUAAUACGGAGGGUGCAAAGCGUUAAUCGGAAUUCUGGGCGUAAAGCGCGCGUAGGCGGCUAAGUAAGCCGGUUGUGAAAGCCCCGGCUCAACCUGGGAAUGGAUCCGGAACUGUUUAGCUAGAGUGCAGGAGAGGAAGGUAGAAUUCCCGGUGUAGCGGUGAAAUGCGUAGAGAUCGGGAGGAAUCCAGUGGCGAAGCGGCUUCUGGACUGACCUGACCUGAGUGCAAACAUGGUAGCAACAGAUUAAUCCCUGUAGUCAUCCG